GGCAAAUUCCAAUAAGAGGUUAGAAUUAGUUACCUGCAGAAGAUUUGCAGAAAGAAAAGGCAUCCUGCAGUAAGAGGACUUGUUCUCUGCCUGCUUCUGCUCAGGUGCACGUGCUGUGGGGGCGCUGCUGAAGGAAGGACAUUAACAGAGCAGAAGGCAGUCCUGGUAAUCAGGCUCCCAAUAUGGCCAAAUCCAUUCUCACCGACCUUCACCAUUUUGUCUACUGGACGAGGCUGGCACUGCACAAGAAGAUGCAGCUGUCUCUGGAACAAGGUGGAGCAGAGGGCCUAAAAACACAUUUCUAAGGGCAGACUUGAGUAUCCUUCCUUAAGGAAACACAUCUGUACUGUCUAUUCUUGCAAAUGCCAUGGAAUGGAUUUUGAGAGUUUCUCAGAUCUACAACCAUAAAUGGAUGUGGUAGAUCACAGCUCUUUGAGCAGUGAAUUUUAUGGAUGCUGUGCUGUCACAUUGGUCCUGAUUGAGCCCACUUUUCCCUGUCAUCUGUAAUGACUUUGAAAAACAUGGAACGAAAUCCUGGACAUGAAGAAAAUUGGAAAUGAUUUCAACAACAACAAAAAAAUUGCUUGUAAAUCUAAGUACAAAACAAACCUUCCUUUCGAUGUGAGGAUCCAUACUAAAACUUGACUCACCAUGAAUUAGUACCCAGUAGCUCUUCUCAGUCAUGGAGUUAUAUAGCACUGUGGGGCCAUCAUUAGAUCAUCAUUGUUCUACAUGCAUCUAGUGAUCUCAUGCACUUUAGUUACUCACACCAUAUCGUGUAGGAGCUGAACACAGGCUGCACAAGAGCCUGGCUCACUCUGCCUCUUUACUGGCUGAAGCAGAUCCUGCUUGCAUGAGGGCCACACUUUUUCUUGGCUCCAUGAUGCAUUCACCCUGAGUCUCUUUCAUUAUCAUUCUAUGUUUCCUUUAUUUUUAAGUAAAUAAAAACAUCCAACAUGUCCUUUAUCUUUGCCUUUGCUUUGAUCUUCUGUUCUUGAACAUUAAACUAAACAUGGGCAUGUACUCAUGCAUUAAUUCCACCUAACUCAGCGAUGCGGUCUAGUAAUGUUCACAUUUAGAUAUAGCAGUGUUACCUUAUAAAUUUAAACUGUAAAUAAUUCAUAAUGGGCUGCAGAAGUGACUCAAUGGUUACGCGCACUUGCUGUUCCUCCAGGGCAUCAGCAUGAAAUUUUCUACAAUUACAUAGCACCUCACAGCCAAGUAGGCAUCUGAGAAGCCAUCUCUGGUCUCUGUAGGUAUUGCAUACAUAUGGCGGACAGACAAGUAAACAGGCAAAACAUCAAUUUACAUACAACAAAUAAAUUAAAUAAAAAAUAAAAACUUCAUUAUAAGUUUGCAUGCUUGC
ensembl:lincRNA A930001A20Rik RIKEN cDNA A930001A20 gene